GUGUAUAAAAGUAGACCAUGGAAAAUAAAGAAUUGGGAUCAGUUUCUCGAAGUACUGGUCUCCCCAUGUCGCUCUCUCUCUCACUCUGGCUGAGUCUCCAUCUGGAGCGUGGAACCCGCCAUGCUUACUAAUUUUGCCUGGGCUUCUAAGAUCCAACCAGGGAGGCCUCAGUGUCUCCUUUCCUUCGGGAGAACGGAAGGACGCCUGCGGCCUAUUCAAAAGUUUUGGGUGACCAUAAAAGAACCCAGAGCAGAUUUCUCUCCUUCUCCACAACUCUAUGAGAGUCCAGAGCCAUGGUACCAGCAAGGGACCCUUAUGUCCAUCUGCCUCCUCGUCAAGUCCAAGUAACUCACGGACAUUUCUGAAGGUCAUGAAACCAGGCACAGUGCCAAGUAAGCACAAUGAUAUUCUCCAUUACAGAAACUAACAAUCAAGCUUGACAGCAGUCCUGUUGUUCUCCUGGUUUACUACUGAGUUCUAUCUUUGCAAGCAAAGUGGAGUAA
ensembl:lncRNA